rnacentral:rRNA from 1 species
AAUGAACGCUGGCGGCAGGCCUAACACAUGCAAGUCGAACGGAUCCUUCGGGAUUAGUGGCGGACGGGUGAGUAACGCGUGGGAACAUACCCAAAGGUACGGAAUAGCCUCGGGAAACUGGGAGUAAUACCGUAUGUGCUCGAAAGAGGAAAGGUUUAUCGCCUUUGGAUUGGCCCGCGUUGGAUUAGGUAGUUGGUGGGGUAAUGGCCUACCAAGCCGACGAUCCAUAGCUGGUUUGAGAGGAUGAUCAGCCAUACUGGGACUGAGACACGGCCCAGACUCCUACGGGAGGCAGCAGUGGGGAAUCUUAGACAAUGGGGGAAACCCUGAUCUAGCCAUGCCGCGUGAUCGAUGAAGGCCUUAGGGUUGUAAAGAUCUUUCAGGUGGGAAGAUAAUGACUGUACCACCAGAAGAAGCACCGGCUAACUACGUGCCAGCAGCCGCCGUAA